GAUGAACGCUGGCGGUAUGCUUAACACAUGCAAGUCGAACGGACUCUUCGGAGUUAGUGGCGGACGGGUGAGUAACGCGUGAGAAUCUGGCUUUGGGUUCGGGACAACCACUGGAAACGGUGGCUAAUACCGGAUGUGCCGAGAGGUAAAAGAGAAAUUGCCUGAAGAUGAGCUCGCGUCUGAUUAGCUAGUUGGUGAGGUAAAGGCUCACCAAGGCAGCGAUCAGUAGCUGGUCUGAGGGGAUGACCAGCCACACUGGGACUGAGACACGGCCCAGACUCCUACGGGAGGCAGCAGUGGGGAAUUUUCCGCAAUGGGCGAAAGCCUGACGGAGCAAUACCGCGUGAGGGAAGAAGGCUCUUGGGUUGUAAACCUCUUUUCUUAGGGAAGAACAAAAUGACGGUACCGAAGGAAUCAGCAUCGGCUAACUCCAUG
rnacentral:rRNA from 1 species